AAGAAGAAUGAUUAGUCGAUAUUAAAAGUGGAACGGUACAGAGAAGAUCAACAUGGUCAUUGCUCAAGGAUGACACGAACAAAUCAAGAAACGUAUCAUUAGCCU